GAUGAACGCUAGCGACAGGCUUAAACACAUGCAAGUCGAGGGGCAGCACGGUGUAGCAAUACACUGGUGGCGACCGGCGCACGGGUGAGUAACACGUGUGCAACCAAACCCCCGUACCGGGAGAUAACCCGCGGAAAACGUGGACUAACAUCCCCAUAACAUUCUAGAGCCGCAUGGCUUUGGAUUUAAAAUUCCGGUGGUACGGGACGGGCACGCGCGACAUUAGGUAGUUGGCGGGGUAACGGCCCACCAAGCCGACGAUGUCUAGGGGUUCUGAGAGGAAGGUCCCCCACACUGGAACUGAGACACGGUCCAGGCUCCUACGGGAGGCAGCAGUGAGGAAUAUUGGUCAAUGGACGAGAGUCUGAACCAGCCAAGUCGCGUGGAGGAAGACUGCCCUACGGGUUGUAAACUCCUUUACCUGGGAAUAACGGGCGCUACGCGUAGCGCUGUGCAUGUACCGGGAGAAUAAGCAUCGGCUAAUUCCGUG
rnacentral:rRNA from 1 species